CCGUCGGAGAAUAUUCAAAUUCUGUUCAGGGGGAAUUUGUGUGUUUUGGGGGGGUGCGGGUAGAGGGGCUGUACCGGUGAAUGGUGGCGAUCAAUUAACUGGGAUUUAGGAGCUUUUCUUUGCCCUAGUUGGAAGAGAGGAGAGGAGUUCUGCUACAAUUGAUCUCUGCAUAUGAUCAUGCCUAUUCAUCUCCCACUCCCAACAUCCUUAUAAUUCAAGAAUUUCUUCCACCCCCCCCCCCCCCCACCCAAAAAAAAAAUCGCCCCCUCCCCGUGCCCCCGCCUUUUUGGUUUGGGCCCUGAGGCCCCCCUCACCCUACUUUUCCUUUUAAAUGUUUGAAGAUUUAUUACAUAAUGUAUUUCUCAUUAAUUUUCCCCACA
rnacentral:misc_RNA from 1 species